CAACUGCGAUAACUAGUGUGAACUGCAGAUAUUUUGAACACUAAGAUUUCGAAUGCACAUUGCGCCAUGGGAAUUUUAUCCCUUGGCACACCUGGUUCAGGGUCGUUUUUGUCUAAAGCGAAUGCUUUUACAGUGGAAACCGCAAACAUUUGCACGAUCACAAGCUUGCUCGCUUGCUUUGUGUUCGUGCAUAUUGGAGAAUCGUAUUUACUGCCCAGUAACAAUACGUGCUGGCCCGUGUCGUGGCAUUGUAGCUUCUACGCUGCACACGGUGCUUUGCUCUGGUAUUAUUGGGCGCAAUAGCUAUUUCGACCUGAACUCAGGUGUGAGCACCUGCUGAACUUAA
rnacentral:misc_RNA from 1 species